GCAGUGUGUGGCGCAGCGGUUAGCGCUGUUGGCCAGCAAUUUUCCAUCGCGGGUUCGACCCCCGGUGGAGGCA